UGCGUGGGUUCUCUCCGGGUUCUCUGGCUUCCUCCCACAGUCCAAAGACAUGCAGAAUGGGUGACAUUUGCUGAACGGCCAACUUUAUCUCCAGAGAAGGUGAAGUUCAACAGAUCAAAGCCAGUCACCUAUCCAACUACUGACCAACCAUCACUGGAAAACCAGAGUCACCUUGCUACAGGAUCCUGGCUGGAACAAAAGAGUUUUGAGAAGCCAACAUGGCAAAUAAUAAAGCGUAGCAGAUUCCCAGUAAAUUGAUGGGACUUGCCCCUCGACAUCCUUUAGCCGUCACUCGCUCCUGGUUUGGGGCAAACCACAGAUAAGAGAGCUGAGUCAAGUUUUGCGAGCGAUUAUGAAAAAUAGACGGAUUCACAGCCAGAUUGAAUUGAUUGACACAGACUCUGAGGCAGAUAUUCCGAUGAAUUCAAACCCAGCGUUGAUUUAAAAAGAGAUGAUUCACACCUGCUUCCCCACAGAUACAAGUGACUUCCUGUUUUACAUUGUUGCCAUAGUGACAUUUACUUGUAGUUCAUCUGAAGCAAUAACAGCAAAGAAACAAGCAUGUUUACCCCAUGCAUGUAACCCAGGUUGAACUUAUGCUCUGUGUAUGAAAUGAGUGACAUAAAUAAAGUUUUGCUGAGCGUAAUUAAUAGAUUUUCUCUGCAAUAUGAAGAUGAUAAAAAAAAUAUUAUAGUCCAAACUGUGAGGUAAAAACAUUGAAACAGUGAUGAUAUAAAUCCAGACGGAUAAUGAAAAAUUGAGGAGACGGAAAAGAAACAGAGUGAUAGAAACUGCAAAAAAUUAAUGAUUAUCUAGCCUGAGUUUGUUUCCCUGCUACAUCUGUCCUAUUUUUUUGCUCUCUCUCUAUGGAGAGACAGCACUGUUGCAAACUGCAAAGAGCGAUCAACUCCUCUUGAAUGAAUAGUUGAGUCAGUGCGGGACGUUUGCGGUGAUUGAUGAAUCAGUUGAACACACACACUGUCCCGUGUGUGUGUUCAACUGUUCAACUCCGACACGACGGAAUUCACCAAACUCUCAAUCCCCGUCAGUCUAGACAGGUAAAAAUAAACUUGUUGAACUCAUGUGUCCGUACAAGAGCUUGUGUGAACCUGGGCGUGACCUAAGUGGGUCAUAUUUCCCAUUUUAAGUGUGAAGUGGCUUUUGAAAGAAGCGGGACAAAGCCUGUUUGUGAGAGGACCAUGCGCCUUUGCGGAGGCUGCAUGGUUGUUAUUAUUAGUAGGGCUGACUUGGAUGUCCGACGUCACGGCGGCGAGGUGAACAGCUGUAUAUGGGCCAUGACUGUGCCCCAAAUGAAACAUCGGCCUGCUGAGUCAGCGCCAUCCAGCAAUGAAAACAAAAAGAUUUCCAUGAUAGCUGCUCGGCGAGGACGCCCGCCACCACGCACGCAUCAGACAGACGUCCCCGUGGUCGGGGAUCCUUGUGGAAACAGCCGACUAAUGGCAGCUGGCUCCUCGGCAUUCCUCCGAGGCGACGUGGCUUUCUCCCCCCUAACCAGCUCACUCACUGGAAUGUGAGCGGAGGAGAACGCAAGAUGUCCAUAUACGUACGCGCGGGGCAGCGAGAUGAAAUGCAACAUUCACUAAAUACAAAGAUUGUGGUGUGAUGACUGUCAACUAUUUGGCAUUCCGUUUCUGGAUUCAAGGAUUUUUGUGUUAACUAUCGGCUGGAACCACUUUUUUUUUUAUUUGAGCUACUUAACGAAGGACAUGUGAACCGUUUGUUUGUUUUCCUUCCACUACUUCCUCUGCAGUGAAGCUACUAAAAGUUCGAAAGUCUAUGUUGCAGCAUGUGCUGGAGUUCGAGGGAGGUGAGGGAGGUUGUCAGGAGUGCGUAUAGCUUUGGCCGACGGCAGUGUCUCUCGGACUGAAUGAGCCACCCCAGCGUCACGGGGGCAUGACUGGCCUGCUUCAAAAAGCCGGGCUUUGUGCACCAACAACAAAGCAAACGUCCCGCCGCUUGUGUUUGGGUACUGGGACAGCGGAGCAGGCGUGUUUGGACAGUGGCCCGUCACGGACCGACUGUAUAGCCAACUGGAAUGUCCUGUGUCAUGCCCAAUCUGGGUCGGACUUUCAGUCAGCGUGGUCAUGAUAAGCCUCGGUACUAAUGUUUGCAGAUGCCACACUUUAUUUGUU